AUUGAACGCUGGCGGCAUGCCAUACACAUGCAAGUCGAACGGCAGCGCGGGAGCAAUCCUGGCGGCGAGUGGCGAACGGGUGAGUAAUAUAUCGGAACGUGCCCAUUAGUGGGGGAUAGCCCGGCGAAAGCCGGAUUAAUACCGCAUACGACCUGAGGGUGAAAGCGGGGGAUCGCAAGACCUCGCGCUAUUGGAGCGGCCGAUAUCAGAUUAGCUAGUUGGUGGGGUAAAGGCCUACCAAGGCAACGAUCUGUAGUUGGUCUGAGAGGACGACCAGCCACACUGGGACUGAGACACGGCCCAGACUCCUACGGGAGGCUGCAGUGGGGAAUUUUGGACAAUGGGCGCAAGCCUGAUCCAGCAAUGCCGCGUGCAGGAAGAAGGCCUUCGGGUUGUAAACUGCUUUUGUCAGGGAAGAAAUCCUUUGGGCUAAUACCUCGGAGGGAUGACGGUACCUGAAGAAUUAGCACCGGCUAACUACGUGCCAGCCGCCGCAGUAA
rnacentral:rRNA from 1 species